UGGGGAAUAUUGCACAAUGGGCGCAAGCCUGAUGCAGCCAUGCCGCGUGUAUGAAGAAGGCCUUCGGGUUGUAAAGUACUUUCAGCGAGGAGGAAGGCGUUGUGGUUAAUAACCGCAGCGAUUGACGUUACUCGCAGAAGAAGCACCGGCUAACUCCGUGCCAGCAGCCGCGGUAAUACGGAGGGUGCAAGCGUUAAUCGGAAUUACUGGGCGUAAAGCGCACGCAGGCGGUCAGUCAAGUCGGAUGUGAAAUCCCCGGGCUCAACCUGGGAACUGCAUCCGAAACUGGCAGGCUAGAGUCUUGUAGAGGGGGGUAGAAUUCCAGGUGUAGCGGUGAAAUGCGUAGAGAUCUGGAGGAAGACCGGUGGCGAAGGCGGCCCCCUGGACAAAGACUGACGCUCAGGUGCGAAAGCGUGGGGAGCAAACA
rnacentral:rRNA from 1 species